GACGAACGCUGGCGGCGUGCUUAACACAUGCAAGUCGAACGGAAAGGCCCUGCUUUUGUGGGGUGCUCGGGUGGCGAGCGGAAGAGUAAAGCGAGAGUAGCCUAACCUUGACUCUGGGAUAGCUUAAGGAAACUAGGGCUAAUCCAAGAUAGGAGCUCCUGCUGCAUGGUGGGGGUUGGUAAGUUUCGGCGGUUGGGGAGGGGGUCGCGGCGCUUCCGCCUGUUGGUGGGGUAGUGGCUUUGCAAGGCUUUGACGGGUAGCCGGCCUGAGAGGGUGACCGGCAACACUGGGACUGAGAUGCGGCCCAGACGCCUACGGGAUGCAGCAGUGGGGAAUAUUGCACAAUGGGCGGAAGCCUGAUGCAGCAACGCCGCGUGCGGGAUGACGGCCUUCGGGUUGUAAACCGCUUUCGCCUGUGACGAAGCGUGAGUGACGGUAAUGGGUAAAGAAGCACCGGCUAACUACGUG
rnacentral:rRNA from 1 species